UACGUAGGUGGCAAGCGUUGUCCGGAAUUAUUGGGCGUAAAGCGCGCGCAGGCGGUCCUUUAAGUCUGAUGUGAAAGCCCACGGCUCAACCGUGGAGGGUCAUUGGAAACUGGGGGACUUGAGUACAGAAGAGGAAAGCGGAAUUCCACGUGUAGCGGUGAAAUGCGUAGAUAUCUGGAGGAACACCGGUGGCGAAGGCGGCAUCCUGGACCAACACUGACGCUGAGGAGCGAAAGCCAGGGGAGCAAACGGG
rnacentral:rRNA from 1 species